rnacentral:misc_RNA from 1 species
GAUGAAGAACGUAGCGAAAUGCGAUAAGUAAUGUGAAUUGCAGAAUUCAGUGAAUCAUCGAAUCUUUGAACGCGCAUUGCGCCCGCCAGUAUUCUGGCGGGCAUGCCUGUUCGAGCGUCAUUUCAACCAUCAAGCCCCAGGCUUGUGUUGGGGACCUGCGGCUGCCGCAGGCCCUGAAAACCAGUGGCGGGCUCGCUAGUCACACCGAGCGUAGUAGCAUACACAUCGCUCAGGGCGUGCUGCGGGUUCCGGCCGUUAAACCCCUUUUUUACCCAAGGUUGACCUCGGAUCAGGUAGGAAGACCCGCUGAACUUAAGCAUAUCAAUAAGCGGAGGA